rnacentral:rRNA from 1 species
UACGUAGGGGGCUAGCGUUGUCCGGAUUUAUUGGGCGUAAAGAGCGUGUAGGCGGCCCGAUAAGUCCGCUGUGAAAGUCCAGGGCUCAACCCUGGGAUGCCGGUGGAUACUGUCGGGCUCGAGUCCGGAAGAGGAGUGUGGAAUUCCUGGUGUAGCGGUGAAAUGCGCAGAUAUCAGGAGGAACACCAAUGGCGAAGGCAGCACUCUGGGACGUGACUGACGCUGAGACGCGAAAGCGUGGGGAGCGAACAGG